AGAUUGAACGCUGGCGGCAGGCCUAACACAUGCAAGUCGAGCGGUAGAGAGGUGCUUGCACCUCUUGAGAGCGGCGGACGGGUGAGUAAUGCCUAGGAAUCUGCCUAGUGGUGGGGGAUAACGUUCGGAAACGGACGCUAAUACCGCAUACGUCCUACGGGAGAAAGCGGGGACCUUCGGGCCUCGCGCCAUUAGAUGAGCCUAGGUCGGAUUAGCUAGUUGGUGAGGUAAUGGCUCACCAUGGCGACGAUCCGUAACUGGUCUGAGAGGAUGAUCAGUCACACUGGAACUGAGACACGGUCCAGACUCCUACGGGAGCAGCAGUGGGAAUAGUUGGAC
rnacentral:rRNA from 1 species